AGUGAACGCUGGCGGUAGGCCUAACACAUGCAAGUCGAACGGCAGCACAGUAAGAGCUUGCUCUUACGGGAGGCGAGUGGCGGACGGUUGAGGAAUACAUCGGAAUCUACUUUUUCGUGGGGGAUAACGUAGGGAAACUUACGCUAAUAACGCAUACGACCUACGUGUGAAAGCAGGGGAUCUUCGGACCUUGCGCGAUUGAAUGAGCCGAUGUCGGAUUAGCUAGUUGGCGGGGUAAAGGCCCACCAAGGCGACGAUCCGUAGCUGGUCUGAGAGGAUGAUCAGCCACACUGGAACUGAGACCCGGUCCAGACUCCUACAGGAGGCAGCAGUGGGGAAUAUUGGACGAUGGACGCGUGCCUAAUCCAGCCAUACCGCGUGGGUGAAGAAGGCCUUCUGGUUGUAAAGCCCUUUUGUUGGGAAAGAAAAGCAGCAGGUUAAUACCCCGCUGUUCUGACGGUACCCAAAGAAUAAGCACCGGCUAACUUCGUG
rnacentral:rRNA from 1 species